CCCCCGUCCCGUGGUCGUCUAAGUCUUUCCCCCGACCCCCUGUUUCUUCUGUUUUCCCGUGGCGUCCUCUGUUUCCUCCUCUGCUUCUCCCCCGACGACUUCUCUUCUUCCCCGAAGACCGAGUUCGAAUCUCAGGCAAAUCAGGCGGAUCGACGAGGGAGCGCAUCGACGAACCCUAAUCCGACUGCUUCUUCCGUGUUCUUCUUCCUCCGUCGCGUGAUGGAUUCAUCUGCACACGAAGGAGGUGGGGUUGGCCAAGUUCAAGAACCAGAAGGGGACGAACCAACUGAAUACCCUGCACGAGGUCUCCGGAAUGACUCAGGUGCCCGAGUGUUCCCUAGGAAAUUAUGCAAGCCAACAUACAUUACCAGACUUUCUUUCAAGCGUUGGAACAAAACUGUGAAGAAGU